UACGUAGGGGGCUAGCGUUGUCCGGAAUCAUUGGGCGUAAAGCGCGUGUAGGCGGUUCGGUAAGUCCGCUGUGAAAGUCGGGGGCUCAACCCUCGGAAGCCGGUGGAUACUGUCGAGCUAGAGUACGGAAGAGGCGAGUGGAAUUCCUGGUGUAGCGGUGAAAUGCGCAGAUAUCAGGAGGAACACCAAUAGCGAAGGCAGCUCGCUGGGACGAUACUGACGCUAAGGCGCGAAAGCGUGGGGAGCGAACAGG
rnacentral:rRNA from 1 species